CUGGUGUGAUCAGAGCCUGAGUCUCUCAGACCAUAGACUCGGGUUUAUACCACACCACAGAUCAACAGGAGAGUGGAGAACACUGGACCACUUCAGAGUGGUCUGGACCUGCACUGACUCCUGACAUUA